rnacentral:lncRNA from 1 species
UCUCUCUUACCCCCUCCUCUGUUAGAAUGUGUGACGCCCCAACUUCCCAGGGGGUCACCCAUCCUAGCACGCUUAACUCUCUUAACCUCUUGGGCCUUGCCACCACCCAAAAUGCUUAAGCCGGGUUAAGAGUUUAGCCCUAUUAUAUCUUAUAUAUAGGACUAUCUGGGGUCUCACAAUCUUCCAUCCUUUAAGCCCUGACGUCCUCGUCAGGCUCAGACUCACAAGUACCAGACGAUGUGAGACUCAUCUCGCUAGCCCCGCUAGCCCGUCAUCCAGACCCUGGCUCAGCCGAGACUCAUCUCACACUUCCGGCUGGUACUCCCGUCCUAGCACGCUUAACUCUCUUAACCUCUUGGGCCUUGCCACCACCCAAAAUGCUUAAGCCGGGUUAAGAGUUUAGCCCUAUUAUAUCUUAUAUAUAGGACUAUCUGGGGUCUCACAAUAAUGUAACGACCCAGCCCACUAGCAAUAAUAACUCGUUGGGCCCAACAACCGGCCCAAAAUGCUUAAGCCCAGUUAUUAUUACUAGUGUCUAAGUCUCUUAUAAACCCAAUGACAACCCCUUUCCCAUCCGAUGUGGGACUAUUGGGGUGUCACAGACUCCCCCCGUUAAGGCCCUGACGUCCUCGUCAGUCCACACACACAGCCCAAGAUCACCAGGCUAUGUGAGACUCGUCUCGCUAGCCCGUCAUCCAGACCCUGGCUCAGCCGAGACUCGCCACACAUGUCCAGCUGGUGAACCGGCUCUGAUACCAAAUGUAACGACCCAGCCCACUAGCAAUAAUAACUCGUUGGGCCCAGCCAACAGCCCAAAAUGCUUAAGCCCAGUUAUUAUUACUAGUGUCUAAGUCUCUUAUAAACCCA